rnacentral:rRNA from 1 species
UGCCAGCCGCCGCGGUAAUACGGAGGGGGUUAGCGUUGUUCGGAAUUACUGGGCGUAAAGCGCGCGUGGGCGGCUAUUUAAGUCAGAUGUGAAAGUCCACGGCUCAACCGUGGAAGUGCAUUUGAAACUGGAUGGCUUGAGUACUGGAGGGGGUGGUGGAAUUCCCGGUGUAGAGGUGAAAUUCGUAGAUAUCGGGAGGAAUACCGGUGGCGAAGGCGCUGGGCUGGACGGUUAUUGACGCUGAGGUGCGAAAGCGUGGGGAGCAAACAGGAUUAGAUA